GUCUAUGUAGAUUAUAUAAAUCG
rnacentral:tRNA from 1 species